rnacentral:rRNA from 1 species
UACGAAGGUGGCAAGCGUUGUUCGGAUUUACUGGGCGUAAAGGGAGCGUAGGUGGUUAGGUAAGCCCUCCGGGAAAUCUUCAGGCUUAACCUGAAAAGGUCGGGGGGGACUGCCUGGCUAGAGGACGGGAGAGGAGCGCGGAAUUCCCGGUGUAGCGGUGAAAUGCGUAGAGAUCGGGAGGAAGGCCGGUGGCGAAAGCGGCUCACUGGACCACAACUGACGCUGAUGCACGAAAGCUAGGGGAGCAAACAGG